UGAAAACUUCCAGGGGAAAUCAGUAUCUGGUGGUGGUGGUAGAUUCCUUUUCCGGAUGGAUGAAGGCGAUUCAUACCCGGAACCAUACUGCACAGACUAAGAAACUAUGGGAAGUUGUUUUUAGCAGAGAUAAAAGGGGAAUGUCCAACUGCACAGGAGGAUAUCCCAACCAGAUCCUGGAUUGGGAGUGUGGACACGGUAGAAGAAUACCAGAGCUCGAGCAAAGACAGAAGAGUUUAGCAAAGGCGCUUGGGGUAGUAUAGUCAGAGGCACUGGACAAUAUUCUUCAGAAUAAUGGCCAAGACCUCAACACAAGAAGGGUGCAAAAGUGGAACCAGACAAAAGAAAAAAGUUUGCAAAGAAUGAAGAUUGAUUUUAAAGUAAAAGUUCUAACACCAUCAGAAAUCCCAAUGAUUAGGGGAAAAUGGGAAAGUCGAUGGCACCCUGAAGGGUGGGAUAUGGUUUCUGUUUUUUAUGUUUUGUGAGUAUUUGGGGAAGCUUAGGGGUACAAAGAUACACACAUGGGAGCACCUCUAAAGUGCAGGUAUGGAUUAAAGAGGAAAAUAUGUUCAACCACCCAUGGGACACAAUGGGGAAAAUGGGACCAAACAAAACCACAUGUGAGGGGAAA